AUUUUAUCACACGUGUUCACAAGCACAUUCAGCAAUAUGUGUAUAAAUGUAUGUGGCCGAGCAGUAUAACGAAAUAGUAAUAAUUUAUUGUUGUGUCUUAGAAUAAUUUACAAAAAGGAAUCGGUUUUAGGCGGAUUCGACUCUUUACUGUUCUAAGGAGCCGAUUCAUAGAACCGAGCCGACUCGAUUCGACCUUCACCAGGCAAGCAACGGCUCUUCUAAUUUGAAAUCCACCUGUCGCCUUUUCCUCCAGUGAAUUCAUCCUCGGUAAGUGUUUAAAAGUCAAAUUCUGUUCGUUAAAGGAUUGUUUUGUGUAUAUUUCCGUGUAGUGUGUGUGUAAUUUAAAAUAAUUAACCAAGUUACUUCAGUUGUAGGUUCUUAUGUCACGUUAUUCGACGCCAGACCGUGUUUGUAGUGUUUGCGAGGUAUUAGAUAACGUUAAGUGAGUUUAUCUUAAGUGAGUUUUUGACCAUAGUAACGUUACCUGAAAAAAAAAACUUUUACUUGGGGUUAACUACAUUAAUGAAUUCUGUAUUUCAGCACAACACUGAGAUGAAGGCAAAGUCACCAUGAAAAGUUAAACGUUUAACGUUAAGCUACAGCAAUUGAUGUUGAAAAACUGAUGCUACCAAUCUCUCCUCACUUGAUUAUUCAAGGUAAUGUUGAUGUCUUCCUCAUUUUGAUUAGAUUAUAAAAUGUCAAGUUGUUCUCAGAUUUGUUGUGAGGAGUUUCAUGUACAACCUCUUUUUCUUCUUCCAGUAGCGACGCAGUGGCACAGUAGGUAGUGCUGUCGCUUCACAGCAAGAAGGUUGCUGGUUCAAGCCUCGACUGGGUCAGUUGGCUGAAUACAAUGGCAUAAUGAUUCUGCUUGCUCACAGGAGCUCAGAUUGUGAUGAACCUGGAAUGCGACACCAGUUACUCUUAAGUCAAGAACCAAAUAAAGCACAGAUGUGGAGGGAUCUACAACUAAACUAA
rnacentral:lncRNA from 1 species